GACGAACGCUGGCGGCGUGCUUAACACAUGCAAGUCGAACGGAAAGGCCCUGCUUUUGUGGGGUGCUCGAGUGGCGAACGGGUGAGUAACAAGUGAGUAACCUGCCCUUGACUUUGGGAUAACUUCAGGAAACUGGGGCUAAUACCGGAUAGGAGCUCCUGCUGCAUGGUGGGGGUUGGAAAGUUUCGGCGGUUGGGGAUGGACUCGCGGGUUAUCAGCUUGUUGGGGGGGUAGUGGCUUACCCAGGCUUUGCCGGGUAGCCGGCCUGAGAGGGGGACCAGGCACAUUGGGACUGAGGUACGGCCCAGACUGCUACGGGGGGCAGAAGUGGGGAAUAUUGCACAGUGGGCGGAAGCCUGAGGCAGCAACGCCGCGUGCGGGAUGACGGCCUUCGGGUUAUAAACAGCUUUCGCCUGUGACGAAGCGUGAGUGACGGUAAUGGAUGAAGAAGCACCGGCUAACUACGUG
rnacentral:rRNA from 1 species